rnacentral:rRNA from 1 species
AAGCCAUGCAUGCCCGCUCACCCGGGACGCGGCGGACGGCUCAGGACAACGGUUGCACCCCCCGCGGCGGUCCCUGCUAGCCGGACACCGCUGGCAACCCGGCGCCAAGACGUGCGCGCAAGGGCGGGCGCCCGCGGGCGAGCAGCGUGACGCAGCGACGGCCCGCCCGGGCUUCCGGGGCAUCACCCGGUCGGCGCGGUCGCGG